rnacentral:rRNA from 1 species
UGAGGGAAUAUUGGGUCAAUGGGCGCAGGCCUGAACCAGCCAAGUCGCGUGAGGGAUGACGGUCCUACGGAUUGUAAACCUCUUUUGUCGGGGAGUAACGUGCGGGACGGGUCCCGUAUUGAGAGUACCCGAAGAAAAAGCAUCGGCUAACUCCGUGCCAGCAGCCGCGGUAAUACGGAGGAUGCGAGCGUUAUCCGGAUUUAUUGGGUUUAAAGGGUGCGUAGGCUGUGCUGCAAGUCGGAGGUGAAAUAUCCUGGCUCAACCGGGAGGGUGCCUUCGAUACUGCAGUGCUGGAAUACUGUUGCCGCGGGAGGAAUGAGUAGUGUAGCGGUGAAAUGCAUAGAUAUUACUCAGAACACCGAUUGCGAAGGCAUCUCGCGAAGCAGUUAUUGACGCUGAGGCACGAAAGCGUGGGGAUCAAACAGGAUUAGAUACCCUGGUAGU